AGUAGUUCUCUGGAAAAAGCUUGGCCUUUUCCCCGUCCUGUGGAUAGUUGGCGCUGCUUGAGGAGAUGACGGGUGUGCAAAUGGAUCGUUUUAGUUAAACAGGAUGUGCAGGAGCAGCCCCAGUGCAGCAACAGAGCAUCCAUCUGGAGGUGGCUACGGCCAUGAAACUGCUCCAGUCACAUGACAAGAGGUCCAUAGCAGGUGGGCCACAGGAUUUCCGGAGCCUUGACCAGGGUGGUGUGUUGUAGAAAAGCACAAACGACAGUCAAGGAUCCAGUAAAGGGCCAGCUGCCCCUCCAGCCUCCUUGAACAACA